rnacentral:lncRNA from 1 species
AAUUGCCCUUUUAUGUAAAUUUUCUUAAAACCCUAAUUUUAUUCAUUGUCACUGAGUUUCACCCUCUUUCACCCCACAAGCGAUCACGAUCAAACAAUUUAAUGUUCAAUAUCAAUCUCCAUGAAAAUUAAAGAGUGAAUCAAAAUAUUUUUCAUCCAUACUCAAUUGGAUAUAAGUAAGUGAAUUUCUUCUUCUAUUUGCAAGUUUCAAUUUUUUUCCUUCAACUGCACUGAUGCACUGUACGAUUACGGUUUUAAUUUACAUUGGUAAGGUUAACUUAAAUUAAGUUUAAGUAGGUUCACGUAAACUAAGUUUACAUGAACCUACUUAAACUGAAUUUACAUGAACCUACUUAAACUAAGUUUACAUGAACCUACUUAAACUGAAUUUACAUGAACCUACUUAAACUGAGUUUACAUGAACCUACUUAAACUGAGUUUACAGAACAAGGAAAACACAAAAUCGCAGUACUGAGAACCCAUAAGAAGAAAAACACAAUUGAUUGAAGAACAACACUUGCUAACCUGAUUUGCUUCGAAUUUUCUUUGAAAUCAUGAAUGGACGUGAGAAAGUAUGGUUUUGAAAUUCUUCGCAGAACACAAUCGAUCUAUUGCAGAAUUAUGGUUUUGGAAGAGGGGUUUUGGGAUGUAACCAAGAAAGAAGGAAUAUGCUUUUUGAAAAUCAAAUUUUAUGAAAGGGUAAUCUUGUCAUUUUGGGGUGCAACCAUGAUUAACUAGGGUGCAAGUAGAAAAACUC